rnacentral:misc_RNA from 1 species
ACUAAAAUAUGCACUUGUCUAGUAAAUAUAAAAUGCAUAUCACAAUUAGCUUGUAAAUUAUGUCUUCGCCUGUAAAACAAGCCACAUUAUAUUACAUAUCAAACUUUGAAUAUCUUUUGAUCAUAUACCAACUCCAAUCUUUUGUGUCCUCUACAGCAACUAUCUGAGGGAGGCAAAAAGAUUGACCCUUAAAUUAGGUAGAUCUGAUAAAAUUUUUCUUAUUUUUCAUCCAAAUUAUAACUUCCGAAAUUAAAUUGAAUUAUUUUAGCAGCCAUAAUCGCUCAAACAAGGAACAACAAAAAUGAAUGGGUAUUAUUGUUCCUCGAAACAACCAGCGCCCUUUCGCCCCCUUCAGCUUNAUUAUUGUUCCUCGAAACAACCACCGCACUUUCGCCCCCUUCAGCUUUCCUCUUCGCUUUCUUCGCCUGUCGAUACGAUUUGAAGCUUUAAUUUAAUUUACCCUCAGUUCCAAUCAUAGCUUCAAGCCGGGAGCUCUCUUUUUCAAAGAAUUCCAUCUCUUUAAGUAGCUUGGCCAGCUUUUCAGCGUUCUCCUCCUGAAUAUGAGAUGGUACUUUUUCUUUAUAGCCAGCUGCAUUAACCAUCUUAUCCAACUUAUCCCAUUGCUUUUGUGCAUCAUCCAUUUUAUUUCUGAUCUUUUCAAGCUCUCCUCCUGCAUCAACUUUUCCUUGAACCUUGAGAUAGACAACAAGAUUCUCAUUGACAUUCUCAAAUGCACAUUCAGCUGGAGGAGCAUCUUUCCCACUCAAUAAUACCUUGAUGGAUGACAAAGUUGCAAGAGUUAAAAUCUCCAAUUCAUGGCUAGCAAUAAUUUCUGCUACUGCAUCACUUUGGCAAAAUGCAAAAGCUGGUAGUCUUUCAUUUCUUGGGUUACCAAGCACCUCAGC